AGGUGACCUGCGGAGGGAUCAUUACCGAGCGAGGGCCUCUGGCCCGACCUCCAACCCUUUGUUGACCAACACUUGUUGCCUCGGGGGCGACCCGGCCACGGUGCCGGGGUCCCCGGCGGACCAUUUCAACUCUGUAUCUGUACGUCGGAGUACUUGAUGAAUCAAUCAAAACUUUCAACAACGGAUCUCUUGGUUCUGGCAUCGAUGAAGAACGCAGCGAAAUGCGAUAAGUAAUGUGAAUUGCAGAAUUCAGUGAAUCAUCGAAUCUUUGAACGCACAUUGCGCCCUUUGGCAUUCCGAGGGGCAUGCCUGUUCGAGCGUCAUUACACCACUCAAGCCUGGCUUGGUAUUGGGCGGUAGGGUCCCCCCUACGCCCCAAUUUUGCCGGCUGGAACGACCCGAAUCUCAGCGUUGUGGCAUACGAAUUCGCUGGCGAGGGGGGCGGUCCGGCCGUAAAACUUCAUUCAAGGUUGACCUCGGAUCAGGUAGGGAUACCCGCUGAACUUAA
rnacentral:rRNA from 1 species